CCCAGGCGACGUGGACAAGGCUCUGAAAUACCUGGAGGUGAGGGGGCAGCUAGGCAGGUGGCUACACUGGAGGCAGGACCACCAGCUCUAUCCCUGACUUUGUCCCCUGACCUCUGGCAAGUGGCAGCCACUCCCUCCUCUGCCCUGGGUCUUACCCUGCGGGUCCCACUGCAGCCACCAGGGGGCGGCUGCGAGCCAAGAAGAGAAGGCCCAGGAAAGGAACAUCUGGCUUCAGCAGGGCCCAGCCUCGCUCCUGGCUCCCUGUCCAGUCCCCCCACCUACACAGUAAGGUCUGCAACCUUCUAGGACAGCCAGAUCCUCACCUACCACUACGGAAUCCCGACCUCUCUCCGGAAGACAGGCCAGCAGUGGGACUUCCCCAACGCCUGGGCCCCCCUGCAGGACCUGGUCAUCAGAGGUCUGGCCAAGUCUCCUUCAGCCAGAGCCCAGGAAGUGGCUUUCCAGCUGGCCCAGAAUUGGAUCCGCACCAACUUUGAUGUCUACUCCAGGAGGUCAGCCAUGUACGAGAAGUAUGACAUCAGCAACGGUGGACAGCCGGGUGGUGGAGGGGAGUAUGAAGUUCAGGUGAGUGGCCCAUAUCCUACAGGGACCUUUGGGGCUCUGCUUCCCCACAACUGACCAUGACUUGCCCUUUCUGGGUUUCAGUUUCUUGGGUGCAUGUGGGUUAGUCCACAUGCUUCACUGUCCUGCUGAGAUGUUUAUAAAUGCUAAAAAACCACCCGGCCUGAAGUCCCAAAACCAUGAGUCACAAGUGCUAUGAAGGAGGGUAGAGGAGGUGGAAGCUGAACAAGUGUUGAACUCUGCCCUCCUGCACUAUCUCUUCGAAGGAGCCCAAAUUUGAACAUAUUAGUCUAGAUCAUAUCAUGCCUCUGGGCAUUUUUAAAAACAAUAGAGCAAUGAUCCAGCAGUUAUUUUAUCAGCUGAAUGUGCUCAGGGAAAGAAAGGAAGAAAGCCCUGCCAA
rnacentral:lncRNA from 1 species